GACAAGAAAUAACAAUACGGGGCUUAACGUCUUGUAAUUGGAAUGAUGGGAAUCUAAACCUCUUCCAGAGUAUCAAUUGGAGGGCAAGUCUGGUGCCAGCAGCCGCGGUAAUUCCAGCUCCAAUAGCGUAUAUUAAAAUUGUUGCAGUUAAAAAGCUCGUAGUUGAAUUUCUGCCGCCCCGCCUCUGCCCCUCGACGGGCGUUUGCGCCGCGGCUUUUUCGGAUUAUGCUUGCAUUUUCCGAGUGUUACUUUGAGAAAAUUAGAGUGCUCAAAGCAGGCUUUUGCCUUGAAUAGUUUAGCAUGGAAUAAUAGAGUAGGACUUUGGUUCUAUUUUGUUGGUUUUAGGUACCAAAGUAAUGGUUAAUAGGAACAGUUGGGGGCAUUCGUAUUUAACUGUCAGAGGUGAAAUUCUUAG
rnacentral:rRNA from 1 species